CUUGGUCUGCGUAGGCUCCACUUUAAUUUACUAGUAGGAAGCUACUUCAUGUACACUUGUGUCACUUAAUGACAGGGACAUCUUCUGAGGUAUACACAAUUAGGUGACGUCAUCAUUGCUCGAACUUCAUAGAGUGUGUUCCCUGCAACCUAGGUGUGCAGGCCAGUCAUUGCAUGUCACCACUUGACACAGGAGAAAAGUGGGCCUGAGAUGGACAAGGGUCCUCCCAGCAUAACACAGUGCUGUUUUUAACAAGUAGGAAGAACGUACUCUACAACAGCAACAAAAGUAUCGCGUAAUAAGUAAACCUGUCACGUAGUCAUUUAUUAUCAGUGUCAAGCAUCACAUGCUGUACAUAAUUGUAUUGCUGUAUUUUUAUACAACGGGGAACACAUGAGGAUUGUUUGCACCGGCAUCACCACAGACAGGUGGGCGACAUGCUGUGCCAUGAGGUUGCAAGGGCUACAAUAUCACUAGCUGGUAGGAAUUUUUCAGCUCCGUUAGAAUCUUAUGGGACCCCUGCUGUGUGUGUGUGAACCAUGCUGAUAGAAACGUUGUUAUGUGAUGUACGACUGUAUUUUGGACAUUUUGUGCACAAUUCCUUAAGUCUAAAAAAUGCUAAGGGUCAGGGCAUUUCAUCACUGUCCUGAUAAACUCCAGGUGCCCAGAUGGAUCAGCAAGGUGUGAGCGCCACAGCACUAGCGUUCAGUUCAGAGAGUGGGAAAGACCUGUGAGCACUGCCUUCCCAGUGGAGGUGGGAACAGAGACCUCUGACUCCCAACAUUCCCAGCCCCUAAUUUUUCUUUGUCCUUAUGUUAAUUUUUCCCAAGAUUUGGGGAAUUAGGUCAGAUAAAUGCCUCCUCUGAAAUGGAAAUUAUUUAAAAUCAAUGCAGAAUGACUUCCUCUGGGGGUCUGCAGCUGAUAGUAUCAGGGCUUGUGCCAAACCAAAUCAAGUUUACUGGAGUGUCCCCAUCUAUUCUAAAUGAAAUCCGAGCCAGAUCAAUUGCAUGAUUAUUUGAUUUUCUGGUGUGAUGUAAUUAUCACAUUUUGGAAAAAGAUCUUUAAAAGAAUUGAGAGAGUUGACAUCUGCUAGCGUUUAUACAGCCCAGCACACCUAGGGAUCUGCAGGGUAGAGGACGCAUGGAGCAAUGUCUUCUCUGUGACUGUCCAGCCACCAGGGCCCCCAGCCCUGAUCUUCUACAAUCUUAUGAGUCUCGAGGAAUUAGAUGCCGGAGUGAGUGGAAAUCAUCAGACAGAUUCAAUGAGGGGUCCAGACAGAUACCACUGGAAUAGCAGCAGCAGGCCGAUUUGAGGUACCAGAGACAGAAAUGCCUUCCUUAAUCCAGGGUAGGCCAGCUCAGUUUAGCUGAAGCAAAACUCUCGGGAAGAAAGAAAAGCUUGGUGAGGCUGUAAAAUUGACACCAAGAUGAGAUUUAACCAACUCUUCCUAGAAUGGGGACUGGGAGGGGUGGAGGUGUGUGUUUGUAGGAGGCACCUGAAAUCCAGUCCCUUUAUACCAGCCAGACAUCCCACAACAUUUAGCCCAGUGAGUUCUGUGACCACCAGGCUCAAAGCCAGGGGAAGUGUGCUUUGGAACCCUUAGCUGGGCUGCAGGGCGGGCCAUGCACACACAAGACUGCACCUGUCCUGAAUCACCUUCCCAAGCCCUGGGGACCCCGUGCCAUGGAUCCAAGGCUGUCCCUUCUUGCUGCC
rnacentral:lncRNA from 1 species